UACUAUGUUACGACUUAUCUCAUCUUAAUAACGAGAGUGCCGGGCGAUGUGUGCACAUUUUAGAGCCAAAAUCACAAAAAUAAUUCUUAUUAUCAAUUACUAUUAAAUCCACCUUCAUAAUUUUUUUUCAACCCUUAAUUCAUUUACUUUUUAAAUAUUGUAAUCCAUCUCCACUUAAUUAUCAACUGCACCUUGACCUGAAUUAAAAUUAAUUAAAAUUUAAAGAAAAUUUAACUCUAAAAAGAUCUUCAAAUAAACGGCGGUAUACAUAUUAAAUUAUAUUAAGUAAGGUUCAACGCGGAUUAUCGAUAAUGGGACAGAUUCCUCUAACUAGACUAAAAUACCGCCAAAUUCUUUAAGUUUAAAGUCCAUAUCUAAUACUACUCAAGAUUAAAAUUUUAUAUCCAAAAUAAUAGGGUAUCUAAUCCUAGUUU
rnacentral:rRNA from 1 species